rnacentral:RNase_P_RNA from 1 species
UUAGGAAGAGAGGCAAUCGCCGCCGAAGUUAACCCUUCGGGGGAGGAAAGUCUGGACUUCGCAGGAGAGGAUACCAGCGAAAGGCUGGGGGCCGCAAGGCUACGGAAAGUACAACAGAAAGCACACCGUCCCCUGAAAAGGGGAGCAGGCUGAAACGCCGGAAUCAGGUUCCGGCCCCGCCGCAGCAAUGCGGCGGCUGCGGUAAACCCUAUCCGAAGCAAGGGACAAGCUCACAUUCUGUUCUCCGCAGGAGCUUGUCAGGACCGCUUGAGCAGCCGGGCGACCGGCCGCCUAGAUGAAUGAUUGCCCGCCCUUUUAGGGCGACAGAAUCCGGCUUACGAUCUUCCUUAGGGC